GACGAACGCUGGCGGCGUGCUUAACACAUGCAAGUCGAACGGAAAGGCCCUGCUUUUGUGGGGUGCUCGAGUGGCGAACGGGUGAGUAACACGUGAGUAACCUGCCCUUGACUUUGGGAUAACUUCAGGAAACUGGGGCUAAUACCGUAUAGGAGCUCCUGCUGCAUGGUGGGGGUGGGAAAGUUUCGGCGGUUGGGGAUGGACUCGCGGCUUAUCAGCUUGUUGGUGGGGUAGUGGCUUACCAAGGCUUUGACGGGUAGCCGGCCUGAGAGGGUGACCGGCCACAUUGGGACUGAGAUACGGCCCAGACUCCUACGGGAGGCAGCAGUGGGGAAUAUUGCACAAUGGGCGGAAGCCUGAUGCAGCAACGCCGCGUGCGGGAUGACGGCCUUCGGGUUGUAAACCGCUUUCGCCUGUGACGAAGCGUGAGUGACGGUAAUGGGUAAAGAAGCACCGGCUAACUACGUG
rnacentral:rRNA from 1 species